AUACCCCGGUAGUCCUAGCCGUAAACGAUGGAUACUAGGUGUNAGAGGUAUCGACCCCUCUAGUGCCGCAGCUAACGCAUUAAGUAUCCCGCCUGGGGAGUACGACCGCAAGGUUGAAACUCAAAGGAAUUGACGGGGGCCCGCACAAGCGGUGGAGCAUGUGGUUUAAUACGUCACUAACCGUAGAACCUUACCCAGGCUUGACAUCUGGGGAAUCCUGGUGAAAGCCGGGAGUGCUUCGUAAGAAGAACCCCAAGACAGGUGUUGCAUGGCUGUCGUCAGCUCGUGUCGUGAGAUGUUGGGUUAAGUCCCGCAACGAGCGCAACCCUCAUCCGAUGUUGCCAGCGUAAAGUCGGGAACUCUUCGGAAACUGCCCGUGUAAGCGGGAGGAAGGUGGGGAUGACGUCAAGUCAGCAUGGCCCUUACGCCUGGGGCUACACACAUGCUACAAUGGACGUGAACAAAGGGCAGCAAUACCGCGAGGUGGAGCUAAUCUCAGAAAUACGUCCUCAGUUCGGAUCGCAGUCUGCAACUCGACUGCGUGAAGUCGGAAUCGCUAGUAACCGCAGGUCAGCUAAACUGCG
rnacentral:rRNA from 1 species